AUGAACUUCUAGGUCAGAUGGGUUAUUCUCAGAGCUCCAUGAGUAUGAGACUGGCUACAGUAGAUGACCACCUUCUGGGACUGUGGAAAAUUGAUGGGGAAUAAGGAGCCCAACGGAAUCUACCCUCUGAUAUAUUUGUUUCAUUCAGACUAAAUCUCUAAAGGGUUAGACCUAAGCAAAGAUCUAAAAGGAAAUCAGACUGCUAUGCUGUUGUGCUGGAAGUUUUUACCCUCUAUUCUUCUUCCUGAGUGCUCAGUUGAACCUUGAAGGGAAGCCCAUUCUGAGGCGCCAUCACCCUGCUAUUGGCUUGCUUCUGGGGACAGCCCUAGGUGAGAGCUGCUAGUGUGGGCUCUGGCAGGUGCUGCUGUGCCUCGUCCCUGGUUCAUAUCCCUGGUCCAGGCUCAGACUCAGCAACAGAGCCUGACCCUGGGUCCUAGUUUACACUAGAAUAUGAGGCAUUUGGCAAGACUGACUGUGCUCCUGAUCUUGGGUACUUUGAGUCUUGCUAAGACCAUCCAGCCCACCUUCAUUGACGCAUAUGAAGGACAAGAAGUGAACAUAUCCUGUAACCACACCAACAUUGCUACAGAUGACUAUAUCUUCUGGUACCGACAGUUCCCCAACCAGGGACCACAAUUUGUCAUUCAAGGAUAUAAGACAAACAUCGCAAAUGAAGUGGCAUCUCUGUUUAUCCCUACUGAGAGGAAGUCCAGCACCCUGAGCCUGCCCUCCGCUGCCCUGAAAGACGCUGCUGUGUAUUACUGCGUCGUGAGUGACACACAGUGAGACAGGUGGAGCUGCACCUGUUCAAUAUCUCCCUGUGGGGUGGGGGUCACAGCCCAGGGGGAAUCCCAAAAGUAGUACUUUCCAAAGAGUUUAUUUUGCUUUAUUAUUUUCAGAAGGUAUUAGUAAAUCUAUGUAUUACUUUACUGUUUUAAAAAAUUUUGAUCUUAUCUUUAAAAUAGGUAUUCCAUUUACAUGGUCUAAAAUUCAUCCUAUUAUUGUCUCUGAGCUGCUCAAUUAUACAAAAUGAAGCAAUCUAUGGUACCUAUACUAUUGUUGCUUAGCUCACUGGUGUCCCUCAGUUUGUGCACAUACACACGCACACACACACACUAUGCACACACACACACUACACACCCUUACAUGCACAUUGCAUGCUGUCAGUUUGGACAACAUGCUUCUCAGCUUUUGAAAAAUUCAGCCCAAGUGUCAGAUUAUUAUUUAUUGUCAUAUGCAUUUUGAACAUUUCUUUGUUAUUUCAAGCAUCUGCAAGAUGCUUUCCAAGUCUCCUCUGAGUUUAGAUCUUUUACUCUCUGUUGCCCCUCUUUCACUUUUCUUUUGUCCCACUCACCUGUUAUGGAUGGCAUGGCAAAGAGAAUGGAGAUGAUGGUGGGGGCAGGGUGGAAGAGUUUUUUGCUUCUAAUUGGUAUGAUAGACUAUUUUUGCAGUAUAUUAAGCAGAAACAUAGGGAUUCUGGGUCAUUGUCACUUUUCAGAAUUGGGUCCUUUGGGGGCCAAAGGGAGACAAGAAUAAUGACAAAGUUCCUGGGAAUCUUGCUAGUGAGCCAGUAGCUUAAUUAGGACUGUGAGGAUAUUAUUAUUAAUUUUUUUUGGUGGGGGGCUAGUUUCUGAUUUUGGCAACAGGGAAUGCAACACUUGAUGAUAUUUUCUAUUGAGACUGACAGGGCUACACCAUGGCAUGAGAGAGUAUUUCCAUGUAGCUCAUCUUAGGGUUUGGUAGGGAAGCAGUAUUGUGGAAAAUCAAAUAGCGACAGAGAAUUAGAGUCCAUAAACUCAUCUCCUUUGGUUAACAUCUUUCUAAACAUGGUUGAGGAACCUGCAGAAGGUGGAACAGAGUGCUGGGUCUCUGAAUGUUUAGGAUGUAGCCAGCGCUUCUGUCAACUUCACUUAAGAAGACCACAAUUUCUAGUACUUCUUGUGGUACAGGUAAUAUCCUGGAAAAGCCUAGGGUUUCUUAUUCCCAUAAGCUCAAAUGGAGAAAAAAGAGAAAAGAAGAUCCAUAGCAUUUGAACAAAGACAAGACACUUACAGACUCAUAUACCUACAUCUGCGUGGCAAGUUCACAGUCAUUCCCAAGUGCCUGCAGUCUCUGCCCAAACCAGCUGCAGAGGGUCCACCUACAUUCCUGACAUGAGAAUUGAGAGGGUCGUGUAGAGGGGAAUCUCUGUAAGGUUUCUAUCUACUUAUG